rnacentral:lncRNA from 1 species
GCAGCUCUCCUGGGCCCGCGGCUGCUCCGGGCCUCACAUCUGCUGCUGGCCUCGGUGGGCUCUGACUGCGGGGCUCACGGGGCCUGGGGCCAUGGCUUUCUUCUCGGCCCCCAAAUGCCUUUCCUGGAGUGGCUAAGCCUCUCCUGACGAGGCUCCUCAUGCGGGGAGAGGGCUGGGGUCCAGGGGUUUCCCGGCCCUUUCUGCAGGCUGUGCCAGCCCCCUCCAGUCUGCCACUGCCGUGCCCGGGGGACAUCCUGCGCCCAGGCUGGAGGCCCUGCCUCGCUGCUUGCCAGCCUCACCUGCUGGGGCUGGAGGCCAUGGAUCCCUCAUAGUAUCCAAGGUUUGAGUUCCUGUUUUUCGCCUUAUAGUUUUGUGAGUGUUUGAGGGACAACGACCAAAGGUCUUUUCCCCACCAUCUUUAAAUCAAAGUUGUUUAAAACAACAUUAAUUUUAAAAAAUACAUAAAAGCAACCCAUGCUUAUGGUUAAAAAAGAGUACAGGAGUCUGGAGUCCGUUGAAGGGUAAAGGCCUCCCGCAAGCUGCCAGUCGGCUCUUUUUCGCAAAGCCUUCCAGAAGUUUUCUGUGCUUAUGAAAGCGUAUGUGUGGCCUUUCUCUUCCCUUCUUUUAUUAAACACAGAUAGGUUUAUGCUGG